rnacentral:rRNA from 1 species
UACAGAGGGUGCGAGCGUUAAUCGGAAUUACUGGGCGUAAAGCGUGCGUAGACGGUUAUCUAAGUCGGAUGUGAAAGCCCCGGGCUCAACCUGGGAAUUGCAUUCGAGACUGAAUAGCUAGGGUGCGGUAGAGGGAAGCGGAAUUUCCGGUGUAGCGGUGAAAUGCGUAGAUAUCGGAAGGAACAUCAGUGGCGAAAGCGGCUUCCUGGACCAGCACCGACGUCAGGCACGAAAGCGUGGGGAGCAAACCAGGA